CCUGACUGCUAUCGGAUUGAUACUACGCUAUGCGAGUCUUUGCAGUAAUGCAAGGCAUACGGCUCAGUAACACGUGGUCAACUUACCCUAUGGACGAGGAUAAUCUCGGGAAACUGAGCAUAAUACUCGAUAGAUCAUAAUGCCUGGAAUGGUUUAUGGUUGAAAUGAUUCGUCGCCAUAGGAUGGGACUGCGGCCUAUCAGCUUGUUGGUGAGGUAAUGGCCCACCAAGGCGAUUACAGGUACGGGCUCUGAGAGGAGAAGCCCGGAGAUGGGUACUGAGACAAGGACCCAGGCCCUAUGGGGCGCAGCAGGCGAGAAAACUUUGCAAUGUGCGAAAGCACGACAAGGUUAAUCCGAGUGAUUUCUGCUAAAGAAAUCUUUUGCAAGUCAUAAAACCACUAGUGAAUAAGGGGUGGGCAAGUUCUGGUGUCAGCCGCCGCGGUAAAACCAGCACCUCAAGUGGUCAGGAUGAUUAUUGGGCCUAAAGCAUCCGUAGCCGGCUCUGUAAGUUUUCGGUUAAAUCUGUACGCUCAACGUACAGGCUGCCGGGAAUACUGCAGAGCUAGGGAGUGGGAGAGGUAGACGGUACUCGGUAGGAAGGAGUAAAAUCCUUUGAUCUAUUGAUGACCACCUGUGGCGAAGACGGUCUACCAGAACACGUCCGACGGUGAGGGAUGAAAGCUGGGGGAGCAAACCGGAUUAGAUACCCGGGUAGUCCCAGCUGUAAACUAUGCAAACUCAGUGAUGCAUUGGCUUUAAUGUCAAUGCAGUGCUGCAGGGAAGCCGUUAAGUUUGCCGCCUGGGAAGUACGUACGCAAGUAUGAAACUUAAAGGAAUUGGCGGGGGAGCACCACAAGGGGUGAAGCCUGCGGUUC
rnacentral:rRNA from 1 species